rnacentral:lncRNA from 1 species
GUAGGAUGAGCCCCAUCUCCUUUCAGAUAAAUUGAUGCUUUUUGAAAAUAUAACUGCUUUUAACGUAUCACUUUUUUUUUCAAUGAAGAAUCUCUAAAUGCAUCUGUAAACUUGUUUUGUCCCAAGACACUCUACUGAAGCCCCCUGUGCAAAGGUCACGACUGCUUCUGGAAGAGUCAUGCUUAAACUUCUACUUAGUCACAAGAUAGCCACUUGACCAGUCCUCUUCAAAGCCACACAGUCUCCACUGGCUUACUGUUCCUUUUAAGAAACCCCUCUGGCUUUCCAAAGAACACUGCCAGCCAGCAGCACCAUAAAGGAUUUCUACUAUCACUUGUUUAAAAUAAUGGAGUAAUUUCAAUUGAUAUUUUUCAAAGCAUGCUUUAAAAAACUGUCUCAAGUGUUACGUAUUUUUAGAUUAAAAAAAAAAAAAAGAAGAAUGCAUUUUUAAGCCUCAAUUCUGUGCACUGAUCACACUUUAAAGCUGUCACUGGGUAAGGUAGAGUACACCAUCGGGCUUCUAGGUUUUGAUUUUUGUGGAAAACUGCCUCCUGAUUUAGUGUAAAUAUUCUGGUGUGAAUCCUCAAGUGUGGCUUUGGGCAUGGCAGAAUAUUCUUUCCAAACAUAGGUAAAAGUGCAAAUAUGCAAAUGUGCGCUCCAUGUUCCAAAGUUAGGAGGUUCUGAGGUCAUCAAAUACCUUAGCAUCUAAUCAACUCCAGACUUCACGUUUCACUAUGCAGAGGUCAAAACACGGAGAACCAUGAAACAUAGCUAUAUCUCCAGACUUUUGUUAGUUGCAAUAGAUGGUGCAGUGUUGAUGCAGAUGGUUGUAAAGAUGUUGAAUACACGUACACGUUCAUGGAAAACAGUUUGAGACUUCAGCCGUAGGAAAGCCAUCAGUUCUGUGGAGUUACGUAUAAGCUAUGGUGAUUCCUUAUAUCUAAAUUACUGCACGUGAAGAGCAAAGGAGCAGUGUCUGUCACAGGUCCAUUCAGUGGGGGUGUGACUGUGUAGGUGCCGCCGCCACACCCAGUCAUGGUGCCGUACCAGCCCAAAGUUUGCGAGUUUGAUAAACUGCAACAACAACAGUAAAGCAAAUAAGCCACAGGGCAGUGAUCAGAAGGUGCCACACUGGCAUUAAAAAAACAUUCCAGAGAAAUUCACAACUCAGGAAUAUAUUAAAAUAAAAUAUGCAAAAUAAACGACUUUCUACAAAGUUCUACCUAGCAUCUUCUAGUGUGUUUGAUCUGUAAGAUGUAUCACAAAAAACAUAUAAUUCUCAAAAGUGGCAGGAUGUGCCUGGCAGUGUUUUAAUUAUUAUUAUUACUGUACUUUGUUCCAGUACAUCUGUAUGUACAUGUAUUUCUUUAGUCCUCAGUACAAGCCAUUAGGCAGGCUGAGUUAUAGUCACUGUCUCACAGAUGAAAACCAGGCUAAGCGUCUUGUCUAGUUGGAGCAAGGAUUACUGAAAGAUGAACCAAGCUGAACGAGUCCUGUUGGUGAGUAAUAAGGCUUCUCAAUGGUGUUGGAAGUGGAGGGCGUAGGAAGACUUGGUUUUUUGAUCUGGAAUUGCACUGGAAAUAUACAACCAGAUACACAGUGCACAGCAAUCCUUCCAUGCCUGUCAACAUGCGUGAGAGUGCGUGCAUGCUCUGACUCUGAACCGAGAAAGGGCCCUAAGGUGAUAUAGCACCACUUUACUCCCAACGAUUUUCAAGAAAGGGUAGUGAGCUGGCUUCAGUUCAGCUGACAGGUUUUUAUAGAGCGUGUCCUACCACAGUUAAGAUAUAAUGUGUUAAGCUACAGUAUUUCAUGAUCAUAUGUAUUGAUGUAUAUUGCCAGAUCCCUGGUUCGAUGGGAGGGCUAGAAUGCAGAGUUGUUCUUGUCUGUCAGUACUAAUUCAGCCAAGGGACCAGUUACAUCUACCUUCCUUCCCGUGAGUUCCCCAGUCUUGGCAAGUCGUCGUCACUGUCAUACCGUCUUGGAUUGUCGAAAAAGAAAGCCCUGGAGCUGUAGCUGUGGCUGCUUAUCAUGCCAGCAGGUGCCUGUGGACACAGCAUUAAAGACUGGGUGAAGGCAGAGACCACAAUCUGUGAGUUUUAGCCCCAAACUUUGCUAAAAACAGCAACAUAUGAUAAAUAUCCCUUUAAAAACAUGAGGUUGAGCCUUGGGGGAUAUUAUGAUAUCUUACCAGAUUCUGGUUUAAUCUCUGUGCCCGGAAAAAUAGUACCACUGACCAUGCUGGUACAUGCUCCCACAGAAAGAGGACCAUUCCAAAGACAAUGUAGUCUCCUCCAUUUCCGUCUUCUCCCUGAGCCUGCCCAUAGAGCACAGUCAUUUUCACAUUGGCUUUCUAUUAUUUAUAUUACGAGCAAUCACAUACAUCAACUAUCAACACAAAAGCACUCAACUUUUCUAUGUUUUGUGAUUUCUCAUGUAAUGAUUAUUUUCCCCUCAAGGACCAUAACAGUACUUUUAAUUUUUAUCACAAUAAGACAAACCUUUUAAUGCACUAUCUUAGAAAAGUAAUUUUAGUUCUCGGAUAAUGCGGAAUGAUAUCAUUUGAGGCACCAUAGCCUGAAGAGUGUUAGUUGUAAGUCAUUACUGUUCCAACUGCCCCACGGACACUGAAGCAUUAUGAGUUAGGCCUGGGGAAAAAUGAAGCAUGUUAAGUAAAUCCUCACAGCUGAUUUUUAAAAUACGCUAUGGGACUACUCUAUACACUGAAGUUGUUUCUAUUCCACCAGAUGCUUGGAGAAGGCAAACAGGAAAAGAUGUAAAGAGAAUCUGCCACAUGGAAUCACAUGUGCAAAGUCCAUCUCUCCUUAUCAAAUGAAUGAAAUAGUCUUCUAGAGCUCCUUAGAUUCAGUGCCAAGUGGAAGCGAUACAAAGACAGAACAUGAAACUGUCAAACUGCACAUUUAGGAAGGGAUGGAACACGCUCAGAGGGUAAAUAUGUACAGCUACAAUGUUGUGAAUUAGGGUAAACACUUGGACAUGCAAAGAACUACUAAGGCUCUUCCCUUUGCAAGGCUGAUAGAAACCCACUUUAAAGAAAGUAAUUAUUUCCAUAUAAAAAACUGAACAAAAGUAUUAAGAUUUUACGUAGUUCUUUCAUCCUUACAGUACUUUAGCUAUAUUUUCACUGGCUACUGCCAGACAAUUACCUAGAGAUAUUAAAACGUCAUCAUUUUAAAAGUUAGCAACUAGGUUUAUGAGUUUUCUAUGAGGUAUCUAGCACUGUUUCGUUGAUAAAACUUUCUGGAGAAUGAUUUCAAGGUGUUACAUGCAAAUGAGAAAUUUUAAACAGUUUUAAACAAGGUUAUUGGAAGCCUAGAUUGCAUAUAAGCAUGUCUAAGUCAAACACUAAAUGUCCUUGCUAAGAUUACUUAAUUAUCAACUGCAUUAACUUAUAGGCUGGUAAUAUAUGUCAGGCACUUACCUUAUCUGAAAGAUUAUCCCAGCCAUAAUUAAAUGGACUCUCUAAGGUAUCCUGUGAUAUGGUGAUCACUACCAGAUUAUAACAAGCUCUGGAAGAGUAGAGAAGAAUGACUACAGAGCCCACGAUGACAGUCUGGCACAGAGACAUACCCUAUAGAAAGGGAAAGCACAGCUGUGAUUUCAGCAAUGUUUGCCAUGGGGAGCAAGCUGUUCAUCAGCACACAGCACAGUCACCUCUUGCAAAGUACCUAGAGAGAGGGGUGGACACCUGCUCAAGUAACCUCUUGAUUAUCCUGCCUGUGGCUCCUGUUCCUAGAAUGACACGCUGUGUUUAACGCUGUGUUUAAGUGCUUUGCCCACUUGCUAAAUGGCAGCUGGAAGAUUUUGUUUUACCGAAGUCACCUUAUUCCUGUGGUAAUACAUAAGUGAACAAACUGGCCAAAGUUCUGAGCCAUAGUUGAUUAUAGACAGUGUAGUCCACUCAGAGUGGUGGAAGGGGGAAUAGAAACACUUGCCUGUUUGAAUACACCUUUUUUCCCCUGAUACAAGGCAGGAACAAAAAUUCAGUUCCUUGCACAUUCACUCCAUUUUAUUAGGAAAUGGAUGAUCGUGCUUUGAGUGGUAUCAUGUUGCU